rnacentral:snoRNA from 1 species
UGGCUGUGAGGAGACGCCUACUGUGUUGAAUAUGGUGAUAGUUCUACAUGCUAUUCUGACCUGGA